rnacentral:lncRNA from 1 species
GCCGCCCGGUCAGGCGCUCCCAAAUUGUCACAACAAUCCCAUGAUGAUGCUCAUCUGAACCCACCCACUAUUCAGGUAUCAACCGUUUCACUUUCGAUCUAGAAACCCUGUUUGCACCUUAUGUUGUCCAAACUAACUAGUAUGUAGUAUUUAAGUAGGUCUGUACAACUCAAACGGAAAGUUUUUGUGGAUCGAACAAAAAGAAUUGUCUUUUGAAAAGACAGACCAAAGAGAAUAAACGCUGGAACUAAACUUUCGGAGGCUGUGUAUAUUAAAUCUACUCUCCGCUACACAAACCCCAGAUCGACUACUCUGUCUUCGUUCGCCGACGGCAUGGCGGAGCCCAACGAGCAGCGCGCGUCUCAGGCGUCCAGGCCGCCAGCUGAA